CAGUCUCUCCCUGUCACACUUGUGCUCCAGAUCCUCCCCAGAAUCAUUAAGGUUGGAAAAGACCUCUCAGAUCACCACAUCCCUCUCCUCUGAGGCACCAGAACUUCUGGCAGUUGUCUCAGAUGGGCACCAAAGCCAAACAUUCAGAAGAAAGCAGCGUGUGGCAGCCGUCCCGUGCGGAGUGACCGCUGCUUGCUGUCCUCACCCACAUGUUCUGCCAUUUCCACAGAAAGCUGCUGCAAGUGGAACAGCCACGCUUGCUCUAUGAACUGUUUUAUCGCAUCCCGGCUGUAUCUCGUUACAUUAUUCAUCGUCUCUGUGGAGCUGUGAAAUCCCCAAACACCUUAUGUGUCACGAGGAUUUCAGGCUCGUGUGCGUGAACAAAAGCACUGAAACAAGUGAGAAAGCAGCAGAGAAGCAAUCCAAAGAAGAGCAGUGACCUGCAAUCAUACACCCAGAACAAAUCCUCUGCUGCGGAACUCACGCUGUCUGCAAGGUCUCUGCAGGUGCACUGCGCUGUUGCUGCCACAGUGCACCAUCAUUUCCUGUGUGACAGUCUUUAAGACCACCACAAGGUGUGAAAGUUUCGGGUUUUUCUCAGCAGAGAAUGCACUUUGCUAACACAAAACCCCAUGCCAAGAGCUAGACAUUUUAACACACUGAUUUAACCCCUUUUUGAUACGUCUUAUUUACAAAACAUUGCAACAACACCGUAGCCAAAACGAACACACAAGCCCACGAAGGUUAAUUGGUGGUUGCACGUGCAGACACCUCCUAAGCCCAUGCAGUUGAUGGAAGCACCUUGGCCUGGAUGCACACCGCAGGGCUCGCAGCACGCUGGGAGGAAAUCCUUCCCGGGAUGGUUGGAGGCAGUGCCUGCUCCCAGCACCACUCGGGGAAGCCUUAAUGAAAAGCAGCUCAUCAGCAGUUACGUAACCUAAUGAUAAUCCGGCUCAGGCCAGGCAAUGCUUAAAGCCACAGCGUCUCUCUGCUGUGACCUAUUUUAUGCUCAGUGCGAGGGCAAAAGUAUGCGGUGCGUAACUUCGCUGGGUCUCGUAGGUCGAGUCAUUGCCUGUCGGUAGGAAAGCCCCUCGCAUGCAUUUCUUCUGCUUUUUGGAUGCGAAGAGACCACUCUGGGUUUGUCAGUGGCUUUUUAUGGCAUUGGUUCCAGGCACAGGCACAGCACAGAGCAAAUUGUAAACAAUUAGAAGGAAAACACUUAAUGUUCCGCAGGAAACUCGGAGUGCUUUUAAUUUUAGCUUCAGAAGCUGCAGAGGGUCUGGGGGUAUCUCACAAAGCACUCCUAAUGCUGUGUCGAACCGCACAGAAAGCUUUUGUGUUUUUAUUAGACCUCAGAGACCAAAAAUGUAUGCUUCCACAUUCCAGGGUCAUAUUUACAUUUGACUUAAGAAAUUCAUUACGACUGCGCUGGCAUAACUGAGACACACAAGUGGGCAGCCCCCGCCGCUGGUUUUUACCUCUCAGUCUACAGAAAUAUCAACAAGAGAUUAAAGGCAGAGAUGUUGAUUCAGAUCUCAGCAUUUAAUCUGACCACAGAUGGUGUCAAAGAGGGACAGCCAUGCAAAAUAGCAACAGAUUUUUUCCUAAACAAUCACUUUUUUGUUUAACAGAGAGCAUGUCGCCCAAUUUAAAAUGUAGAGGAAAUCUCAGUUUUCUACAAUCCUCCUCCGAGAGAGCUUUGAGGUGUUAUGAAUGGGCUGAUUUCUGUUAAUGAUUAAUAACGUGUUUAUAUUUCUCUGCUUAACUAAAGUUAUUAUUGUAACUAUUAUUAAUUCCUAUCUUCAGUAGGGUAAAUAUGCCAUUCCUCAUGACGCCGGACAAGUUAAUGACACAGCUGUUUGCAGAAAGGAGGUUGUAACAUUGAGCUGAGCAGAAGAAAUACUGCCUGUUAUGUAGAAUACCAUCGAUUCUUGUUAUGAAUUGUCCUGAAUAUUCUUCUUAUCCCUCAAAGAUUCCUCUGUCUGCUCAGCUCCAGGCCUCAGUGAGAUCCUGUGCAGUUAAUUAGGUCCUUACUUGUAGCAGAGACUCCUGCAGAGGCGGAUGCUUUAACCUGGAUAGCAGAUGCACCAGUAGUGAUUAGAAAUGCAAGAAAAACACGGGAAGCAAUCAAAGAGAGAGGAAAGAGGUAAAGGUGAUGCUUUGCAGGAUAAGUGGGAAGCAGUGCUUGCAGUUAAAUGGGAUGAACUACAUCAUAUCAAAUCAAGGUACAAAGGGGAAAUGGAGACCCUUGUCACAACCUGAAAUUUAUAGAUCACAAAUGAAAUUUUCUCUGUUUUGUCCUUCAUAGGUAGCACAGAAGAGGAAUGGGGAUCCAUUGCAUGAUUCUAUGAGUCUACGAUUCUAUGAUUCAACUUUUUUCUCUGCUUUGGUUGCUUUUCUUCCCCAUUUACGCGUAUGGAACAACUUCGCCUGUUGGUCAGCUGCUGUGGUUGCAGAGAGGAGCAAGAAGGGAGCUGGAGCAGAGUGAGGGCAGGGAAAAUUGGUCCAAUUCAGCAGCAGUUCCAGCCUCAAACACAGGCAGCUCUGUGUGUCUCCUGCUAUCAGUCUGUGCUAUUCCUGUAGCAAGCUGGAUCCCUGAGACUGGUAAUGCUUUGGGGUGCUGGCACCCAAACUCUGAGCUCAUGAGGGUCCUGUGUGAGGUUGGUGAAUCACAGAAUCAUGAAAUUAUGAGUCAUAGGGGUUGAGAGGGAUCUCUGGAGACCACCUAGUCCAACCCCCUGCUAAAGCAUGUUCUCUGCAGUCGGUACAAGUGGCAAUAACCUGACUUGGAGAGGUUGUCCAUGCUCUGACUGGCUGAAAAUUACUGCAAAUGAGAAUUCCAGAGGAGCACUGUCAUCGGAGUGACCAGAGAUGUGAAAGGAGAAUAACAUUCCCAUUGAAAAUGAAUGUAAAAUCCCACAGCAGAGUGGAAACUGAAACUGGGAAUGGGAAGUGCUCAGACUGUGCCUCUGUCCUUUUGGUAUAAAGGAUCCUCCCAGAGCAAGCAGCAACCUGUCCUUUCAGCAAUGCAAGGCUUCCCCUCAGUGGCAACAAGGCAGCAGGGUGUCCUGCUGCUCCACCACAAUAAAAGCAUUUUGUCUUUUUUUUUUUUUUUUCAAAGGCAAAGUCCAGUAAAAACGUGGCUCUGAAGUAAAGGAAAUAUUUACAGCAGAGGCUGCUGGCUGUGCUGGGUGUAAUGGUAUACAGCACUAUGAGAGGCCAAAGUGAUACUGCUUUAUGAGCCAAGAGUUUUUAACUCCUUUGGUAUAGGAGACAGCUGCCUACACAAGGGACUUAGGAAACAAAUGAAACUUGAGCAGUGUCAUAUUGCGAUCAUACAAUAUGGACAAAAGAGACAAAAAUGAGUAUUAUUUUUUUACAAAAGAAGGAUUUACUGGAGAACAGCAGUGCUAAAGCUCAUACCCAAGUGCAGCUGCUGAGAUUGCUGACAGCGCAGGAGGCUCUCCCAGAAAUGAGGUCUUCCUGCAAAAAAAUCCCAUCCCCAUCAACAUCUAUUCUCUAAAAUCUGAUGUCCAGGUUGAUUUAAGUUCCAACCUUGGAAAUGAAAUGGGACCAUGGUAUAGGAGACAUGUGAGCUCAGAUUAUGCAUACAAAAAAGACGACAGCCAAAUUGUCUAUGUAUGGGCAGACUGCAUUUGCCUUACCCCAAAAGAUUUACCAGUUGCUAUGGUUACUCAAUAUUACAGCUCAAUAGAUUGGUAAUGUGAACUGAUAGAUCUAGAAAUACACUGCAACAUGGAAUUAAAGAGGUCCUGCUGAAACACAGCCUGAAAAAUCCUGUGCUCCUGAUGAGGCGGAAACAUUGUGCUGCUGACGGGCUGGUCAUGGUUCCCAGAUGCAUGGCAGGGGUCCCACCAAAUAGCAGUGAGAGAUGUGUGCUUGGUGUCUUGUGCAGCCAGAGGUGUAAAACACACGUCAAAGGGAUAAUAAAACACAGUCCAAACCGUCUCGCAUGGGAUCUCUUGAGUAAAUCAUGAUCGAGUCCCAGCAAGUACAGGGAGGAGGGAAAGGCUGGCAGCAAGCAAGAAGUCUUUCUAUGAAGUUUAAAAAUCAGCAAAGGUUUUAAGAGCUGAUCACCAGAAGCUGCAGCUGUGUUGCAGGUGGCUUAUUUCAAAUCUGAGCCCUGUUUCAAAUCUGUUUGUGUUGUCCUCCCUUCCUUUGAGGAGGGAGAGUGAGAGUGGUAUGGUGGAGCAGAGCUUUCCAUUGGGGUGACCCCACAGCGCCCGCCGUUGUCCUUUACCCAAAGGAUAGAGCUUAAGGAAGAUUUUCUCCCACUUCAUAUUCCAUUGUAAUUAUCACCAGCUUCAUCUGCCACUGUGGUGUGCUGACUUGAUUUGCAUCGAUUCCCCCGAACUGUGCUUAAUUUCUCCAGACACUGCCAACAAGAGUCCUACCUGCAAGUCCCAGCCUUACUGCUCCUCUCCCAAUCAGAUUUUACUCAGUGCAUUAAAAACUCAAUACAUUGCCCUAUUACAGGUUGCUGUGGUCACAACAUGGCCUAGAUUGGAAGAGACCUUCAAGUUUAUCAUUUAGUUCCAACCCCCCAUGGAGUUGCCAACCAAUGAUGGCAGAUGCAAGACUAAAACCAGGCGUUUCUUUGUGCUUUUUGUCUCCCAGCUCCUUUUGGUGCAGCUGUUCCCCAGCUCCGACAGACCGGCUGCUGCUGGGAGAGCACAAGAAAGGAAAAGCCCAUAGCAUGAUGAUGCAGAAAGUAGGAAGCAGAGCCCUCCACCAGCAAAAUGGGAAAGCAGCAUUUCUCUUCCAUAGGGGUUUAGUAAGGGGAAAUUCAGAAAUGACCAAGUUUGAGUGCUGGUAAAGAGGUGAUGGAGGUCAAAGGUGGGAAUGGAGUGGGGAGAAAUACAACAGUUUUUAAAGGGCAGCCAGGGAAGACGUGCAAACACUGAGAGUGUUUUAAAGAAGCAAAGAGAUGAAACCCAGCCUGAAAAAAGCACAUUAAAUGAGAAAAAUUGCAACAACAACAAAAGUGGAGAAUAGGAAGAGAAAAAGAAAAGCCCAAAGGGACCAUAACGCAAUUUUUUCUUUUUACUUACAGCUUCUUCAUUCAAUUUUUUGA